GACUCUCGGCAACAGAUAUCUCAGCUCUCACCAUGAUGAAGAAUGUAGCAAAAUGUGAUACUUAGUGUGAAUUGUAGAAUCCUGUGAAUCAUCGAUUCUUUGAAUGCAAGUUGCGCUUGAGGCCUCGAUCGAGGGCACGCUUGCUUGUGCGUCG